rnacentral:snoRNA from 1 species
CUAGCACUUUGACAGAUCUUCCGCUUGGCAGUGGGGUCAAGAUUUGGUAGCUGGUGCUGAAAGAAAGCCCUUGAUUGCAUCCUCGCCUGGUGCUGUACCAGUGGCAGCUGUCACUCGGGGAUACAG